GACGAACCGUCCAAACGUUAUUCGGAAUCACUGGGCUUAAAGGGUGCGUAGGCGGCGCGACAAGUUGGGUGUGAAAUACCUCGGCUCAACCGAGGAACUGCGCCCAAAACUGUCGUGCUCGAGGGAGAUAGAGGUGAGCGGAACUUAGGGUGGAGCGGUGAAAUGCGUUGAUAUCCUAAGGAACACCGGUGGCGAAAGCGGCUCACUGGAUCUCUUCUGACGCUGAGGCACGAAAGCUAGGGUAGCGAACGGG
rnacentral:rRNA from 1 species